ACCUGCAUCCCGAGUGGUGGCCGUUAUUAUUGGGGCCUAAAACGUCCGUAGCCGGUUUGGUAGAUGCCUGUGUAAAUCGAACGGCUUAACCGUUCGAACUGCGGGUAGACCGCCAGACUUGGGACCGGGAGAGUCACGAAGUACUCCGGGGGUAGAGGUGAAAUUCUGUAAUCCUCGGGGGACUACCGGUGGCGAAGGCGUCGUGAUAGAACGGCUCCGACGGUGAGGGACGAAGCCCUGGGGCGCAAACCGGAUUAGAUACCCGGGUAGUCCAGGGUGUAAACGCUGCGGUCUUGGUGUCGGCAGUCCUACGGGGGCAGCCGGUGCCGGAGAGAAGUUGUUAAGACCGCUGCCUGGGGAGUACGGCCGCAAGGUUGAAACUUAAAGGAAUUGGCGGGGGAGCACCGCAACGGGAGGAGCGUGCGGUUUAAUUGGAUUCAACGCCGGA
rnacentral:rRNA from 1 species